rnacentral:lncRNA from 1 species
UGUGCACUUACCAUAGUCUGUAUCAUGCACCUUUAUAGCAUCAGUGCCAAAUAAGCCUCAGAAUGAACAUUUAAAUUUGCAGCAAAUAGUAUGAUGAUUGAGGUGUCUAACCUUUUCAAUAUUUGAGGUGGAAGCGUUUUGAUAUUAGUAUUUGAGCCUCCAUUUUUCAGAUUACUGUGCACACCAUGUGAACCAGUGCUUCUUGGAUUUGACACUUGAAAUUUUGUUAAGAUGCUCUAGGAAGAUAUUUUCACCCACCAGGAGGUCAAACCAGAAAAAAAAA